GAUGAACGCUGGCGGCGUGCCUAAUACAUGCAAGUCGAGCGAACGGACGAGAAGCUUGCUUCUCUGAUGUUAGCGGCGGACGGGUGAGUAACACGUGGAUAACCUACCUAUAAGACUGGGAUAACUUCGGGAAACCGGAGCUAAUACCGGAUAAUAUUUUGAACCGCAUGGUUCAAAAGUGAAAGACGGUCUUGCUGUCACUUAUAGAUGGAUCCGCGCUGCAUUAGCUAGUUGGUAAGGUAACGGCUUACCAAGGCAACGAUGCAUAGCCGACCUGAGAGGGUGAUCGGCCACACUGGAACUGAGACACGGUCCAGACUCCUACGGGAGGCAGCAGUAGGGAAUAUUCCGCAAUGGGCGAAAGCCUGACGGAGCAACGCCGCGUGAGUGAUGAAGGUCUUCGGAUCGUAAAACUCUGUUAUUAGGGAAGAACAUAUGUGUAAGUAACUGUGCACAUCUUGACGGUACCUAAACAGAAAGCCACGGCUAACUACGUG
rnacentral:rRNA from 1 species